rnacentral:tRNA from 1 species
GCGGCGGUCGUCCAACCGCAGGACAUCCGUGGUUGCCACCCGGGGAAUGAGGGUUCAAGUCCCUCCCGCCGCA